rnacentral:misc_RNA from 1 species
UAACGUACGAUCUCGUCUUUCUUACCAAACUAAUAUUAUUCGUGAUAUUUAAUUCUGCUGGUGGUUGGCUGUUCUGUCCUUCCUGUCGCGAUAGUUUCAGGAAAGCUUCUUCGAGAGAAGUGCAGUUGAACAUCGUGAGGAGAGCCCUGGGUGAUUCCUCAGCUAGCAAGCGACCGCUCCUCAUCAAUCCGAUCUUGUGUGCCUGUCGGGCCUCUUCGAUGUAGUGUGUGGUUAUGAUGAC